GGCGUGGCAUUAGGAGAGCGGGACCCGGUCCCCGGAGGGCGCCGACCUCGCGGUGCCGGAGGAGGGCGCGCGGUCUCCGGGCGCGUGGCGCGGGUGCAGCCCGGCAAGGGCCCUUCUGUCCUGGCUGCCCUCGGCCCUUGCAGUCGCGAGCUCGGCGCGGAUCAUAAUCCAGCGUCCCGGGCCGUCGCGGGGGCCGCAGCCAGGAGAGGCACCCCGCGUUUCCGACGCGCGGUUCCCAGGCGGAGGAUGUAACUGAGCCACACGUCACGCCGGCCUGACUGCAAGGGAGGCUCGCUUCUCCCCCGGCCGUCUGCAGGAGGGAAGUAAAACUGCCUUUCUCCAAAUCGGUCUGGAGGGGACCCAGGCUUCUCUUGGUCGGGUCCCGGGCAAGGCAGCCACUCCAGCUUUCCCCGCUCAGUCCCUGAAGGAGAGGGUACCCGAUUCUCAAAGACUGGCCCUGGGCGGGACAGCCACUCCGGCUUCCCUGGAUAGGUCCCUUCAGGAGAAGGGACUUUGGCUUCUCCCUAACCGGUCCCGGGGUGCGGGAAGGAGGGGCAGGGACAGCCUAAAGCUCCUCGAAAGGGUCCUUGGAAAGAACCCCAAAUUAUUCUCUCGUGGUCCCAGACGAGAUAGAGUAUCUUGGGUUUCCAGAACAGGUUCCCAGUGGGGACAGGGUCCUCAAAGAGCUUGGGGUAAGCUCCGAGCUGCAAGGGGAAUUGGAUGAAGAUGGAAAGAGAAGCCCCGAUGCCCGAGGCCUGCUCCCUGGAGGCCGGGGAACCUUGGCUCCGGCAGCUCGGAGUCUCCACGUCCCAGGGAUGUCGCGCCUACGCCGCUCGGCUGAGAGUGGGGUUUCGGGAGCUCAGGGAGGAGGUGUCCAAGCAGGUGAGAGCCUCCUAGGCGGGACAGGCAGUUCGACCAGCACCGAUCUGAAGACGCCUGACUCUGUCCCCACGCCCGCCACCUCGCUCCUCAGCAGGGUCAUCUCCCCAGACAUCGUUUCCCCGUGCAGCAGCAGCCGCUCUCCGGGUGGGGGACAGGUAACCAGGAAGGGAAGCGAGCCUGUCUGGCCUCACCUUAGCUCCCGCCAGGGAGCGUGUCCUCUCACCCUCGCCCCUUCAUAAGUCAGCUCUGGUGCUAAGCAGGGAUGAGCGGGUCACUGGGGCACCUGGUGGGGCAAAUGGGCUCCCAGCUGCUGUACUUUCCUCCUCGCCUUCCCAGUUCCCCAGAGAGCCUUGGACGGAAGCGGUGGGAGCAACACAGGAGAAAGUCUGGGGCAGCGUCAGCGGGCGCCAGGGUCACGCCGGAGACCAAAGCCAGGGGCCACCCUUCUUGGAGCGCUUUUCCCCCUUUCCCGGGUUUGUGUCCCCGACUUUCUCCACCCGGAGCUACCCAAAGCCGGCUCCUUGGUGCCCUUGGCACCUUGGCGUGCUGAGCACUUUGCGAGGAACAGUCUGACCCCGGCGCGCAGCUCCGCGGGAUCCUGGGUACUCCACGAAGAAAGAUUCUGGGCGGAGAACACCCCGCCCAGCCCGGGAGGGAGCGCGCGGCUUGGCACCGCGGCUAGAGCGAGCCGCGCCGACGGGCGGCGACUGCCACUCGGUGCAGCCGGGAGGCGGCCGAUCCUCCCUGUGGACCGCAGGGAAGCGGGUAUGACUUCAGUGGCCUAUUCGGCCCUCCCCAAAACUGAGGACCUGAGUUCACAGGGGAAACUGUCCCCGCUCCACGUAGCAGAGAAAGAAGUGGCUCUGGAGUCCAACAGACUUGGGUUUACUCGCUGUGUGACCUUGUGCAAGUCAUUUAAUUUCUCUGCACCUAUUUCCUAGCUGGAAAAAAAAAAAAGCUGUUUAUCCACCCUCUCUUGGUGGUAGGGAGUAAAUGAGUUUACAAAGUACUUUGAGGAAGUUUCUGAUCGUUACUGUUUUAUGGAUGAGAAGACUAAACCUCAGAGAAGUUUAUUCCUUAUCCAUGGUCACACAGCUAAUAAUCAGCAGAAUCAGGAUACAGUCUCAGGUCUGUCUGACUCCUAAAUCUGUGCUCUUAACCAGUCUUAUGUGCUGACUCAAUGAAAUUAGUUGGGAAUAGAAUGAAAUUCACUCAGCUACCCUCAGCCUUCUGGAUGGUGAGCCUUCCUUCAAGGAAAACAGAACAACAAAUCAAGAUAGUAACUGACAUCUCUCAGGAGAAUUACUUUAUAUUACUACAAAGUAAUAUAAAGUGAUAAAUCCUUAUUCACAUUUGCUGUUUUCUCUUAUUGGCUUCAGUGUUGCAUUUCCCCAUAAACUAGAGGAUUAAUUUAGAAACAUGAAGAACCUUGUCAGCCUUUGGCCAAUUCCUUUUGUUUGUGGGGAAACAAAAACAAAUUGGAUAGGAAAAAAAAAACCCAGAAAGAAAAAAAAAAAAAGAAAAAACAGAUUUGACUGUUGUUUUGUUUUUACAUACAGAUGUUAUAUGACCAUGCCUGUAAAAUUAUAUGUUUGGAAAGGACAUAUUUAGGCUCUAAGAAAUUUACACAAGAUGAGGUCUUUUAAAUAAACUAUUUCCUGGAUGGUGGAGUUUUUAAAAACUUAAGUGCUGCUGAUGAUAUUAUAAUUAAGCCACCCCUCCUACCUCUCUUCCCUUUUUUGCACCAUUCCCUGCUUUUUUGUUAUGUAACUAUUUCUAACCAUUACUUAAGUAUUUAGUUCAAACUGAUAAUAAAAAUUAGAAAAUGCAAACAUA